UGAGUCGGCCGGGUGGCCGCGGCCCGGCAUGACCGGAUCGAGGAAGGUCGGGGCUCCACAGGGCAGGGUGCUGGCUAGCGGCCAGUCGGGGUGACCCGCAGGAAAGUGCCACAGAAAACAGACCGCCGAUGGCCCGCAAGGGCACAGGUAAGGGUGAAACGGUGCGGCAAGAGCGCACCAGCGCCUGGGGUGACCCGGGCGGCUCGGCAAACCCCACCCGGAGCAAGGCCGAACAGGGGACGGAUGCCCGUCCAGCGUCUUCUCGAAGGCGCAAUCCCCAGGUAGGCCGCAUAGAUGGAUGGCCACCCCGCCGCCUCCGGGCGGCGGACAGAACCCCGCCUACAGGCCGACUCACCGU
rnacentral:RNase_P_RNA from 1 species